GAUGAAGAACGCAGCGAAAUGCGAUAAGUAGUGUGAAUUGCAGAAUUCAGUGAAUCAUCGAAUCUUUGAACGCACAUUGCGCCCUUUGGUAUUCCAAAGGGCAUGCCUGUUCGAGCGUCAUUUGUACCCUCAAGCUUUGCUUGGUGUUGGGCGUCUUGUCUCUAGCUUUGCUGGAGACUCGCCUUAAAGUAAUUGGCAGCCGGCCUACUGGUUUCGGAGCGCAGCACAAGUCGCACUCUCUAUCAGCAAAGGUCUAGCAUCCAUUAAGCCUUUUUUUCAACUUUUGACCUCGGAUCAGGUAGGGAUACCCGCUGAACUUAAGCAUAUCAAUAAGCGGA
rnacentral:misc_RNA from 1 species